AGAGGAGCGACCGGUGUGUGUUGAUGCGAACUGGGAGCGACGCGGCGGGGCCGGUUAACGUUUUUCCUUCCCGUCUAUCGUGGCGUCGAGAUCUAUUGCCCAACUCCCGAGGGCACGUCGGAGGUGAGGAAGAAGAGAAGAGGGGGAGAGAGGUGCCUCUCCCAUCUUGGCCCAUGUUGCUGUGCAAGUGGAGAUAAGGCUACUCCAUCCCCGCCCUGCACGAUGGCCACGGGCCCCCCAUCCGUGGUGGCUUUCCAUUAGACUUCCUCUUCCUCACCGGCGGGGUGAACUGACUCCGGGGUUGCUGCUUGACUGGAAUGCGCUAAAAGGAACAAAGGAGAAUAGGCUUGAAGAUGGAUCGUGAAGAUCCAGUUUAUUGAUAGAAUCCUAACCCUCCAAUAUCUUUCGUCAACCAUGCACAAGAUAUCAUUAAUACAAUAAGAAAGAGCAGCAUAUACUGGUUCAGAGGUAUGGUGACUGAUGGCCAAAAACAGAGUAAAAGGAAAUAAACCAGCUAGAACACCGUUUUACUGGCUGAUCCACAAAUCAUUUAAGUGUCUUAAUCCGAUAACCGCGUCAACCUCGAUUUGACCUAUGAUUUGGAGAACAGGGGAGACUCUCUUAUCAAAACUGAAGUUUUUUGUUAAAUUGCAUAUCACUUUCUCAGUGUCUCUACAAAUUCGCUAACUGAAAGAAGGUAAAGCUAUGAGCCAUGGUAGAGAAAUUCUUAUUUCAAACUACAGUUUACUUACUAUGCCGGCAUACUUCGCAUGUAGAAAUGAGGAAUUGUACUCUAUUAGUUUGCUCUUCAUUGAAAUUGAAUGCGACAUGCAAAUAUGACCAUAGUCCGGACCUAUUUGGUGCAUGAACUGGUGAGAAAUUUGUAUGAGUUUCUGUAAUUAAAAGAACUCCUGAUUCAUAUUUAGAUUAUACCUGUAAACCGUUUUAAGAAUUGUAGAUAAUUGAGGCGAAGCUACAUAUGGCCAUCUUAUUUUAUCCAAUUAUUACCAUAUAACUUCGAACUUGAAUGGCAUGUAAAGCAUUGAGAUAAUAAGAGUAAUGAUGUUGGUUGCUGUGAGGCUUCUACUUGGGUAGUCAUUUUGACAUCACUCAUAGGACAUAGGUGGGCGCCGUUGCAUGUGAGACGGGUCUACUUGUCUGCAUUUUCUCUUGACCUUGGUGAUUCUAUUAUUUUCCACCUUGCUUGAUCUAGAUACAAUUAUACUCCUAUUCAGUUUGUCUUUAAUAAUGUACUGACAACUUUGUUGUCUUGUACAGGAUGAUAGUUGAUGCCACUGGAGAUACAAAACCAUUUAAUUCUCCACUGUCUUGCCUAGCUAGCAACGCUGCUCUGCACCUUGGGCGCCUCAUCACCUAUUUAUGCUUUGAUUUCUUAGCUAUGCUAUGCUCUCUGCAAAUAAUGAGAAAAGUAGUUGCUUGGUGUAGGCCAUUUUUCGUUCUUUUUCAUGUCAUUAUCAGUUGCAUGUUUCCCAUAUAUAAUGGACCAUGCUACUAUCAUAAUACUAUUUUCCAAAAUUUCUCAAAUACUUGUACCCUACAGAUAUUUGUAUCAUCAUUUUGUCAUUACGG